rnacentral:rRNA from 1 species
GAUGAACGCUGGCGGCGUGCCUAAUACAUGCAAGUCGAGCGAACAGAUGAGGAGCUUGCUCCUCUGACGUUAGCGGCGGACGGGUGAGUAACACGUGGACAACCUACCUAUAAGACUGGGAUAACUUCGGGAAACCGGAGCUAAUACCGGAUAAUAUAUUGAACCGCAUGGUUCAAUAGUGGAAGACGGUUUUGCUGUCACUUAUAGAUGGAUCCGCGCCGCAUUAGCUAGUUGGUAAGGUAACGGCUUACCAAGGCAACGAUGCGUAGCCGACCUGAGAGGGUGAUCGGCCACACUGGAACUGAGACACGGUCCAGACUCCUACGGGAGGCAGCAGUAGGGAAUCUUCCGCAAUGGGCGAAAGCCUGACGGAGCAACGCCGCGUGAGUGAUGAAGGUCUUCGGAUCGUAAAACUCUGUUAUUAGGGAAGAACAAAUGUGUAAGUAACUAUGCACGUCUUGACGGUACCUAAUCAGAAAGCCACGGCUAACUACGUG